AACGAACGCUGGUGGCAUGCCUAACACAUGCAAGUCGAACGAAGGCUUCGGCCUUAGUGGCGCACGGGUGCGUAACGCGUGGGAAUCUGCCCUUAGGUUCGGAAUAACAGUUAGAAAUGACUGCUAAUACCGGAUGAUGACGUAAGUCCAAAGAUUUAUCGCCUGAGGAUGAGCCCGCGUAGGAUUAGCUAGUUGGUGUGGUAAAGGCGCACCAAGGCGACGAUCCUUAGCUGGUCUGAGAGGAUGAUCAGCCACACUGGGACUGAGACACGGCCCAGACUCCUACGGGAGGCAGCAGUGGGGAAUAUUGGACAAUGGGCGCAAGCCUGAUCCAGCAAUGCCGCGUGAGUGAUGAAGGCCUUAGGGUUGUAAAGCUCUUUUACCCGUGAUGAUAAUGACAGUAGCGGGAGAAUAAGCCCCGGCUAACUCCGUG
rnacentral:rRNA from 1 species